rnacentral:lncRNA from 1 species
GCCUCAUGGAAAAGCAGCAGCGGCAUCGUCACCUGGGAGAGGAUGUGGAGACGGAGGUUUGAGUAUCUGCAACGACAACAACAAAACACACUGGCCGAUACAGCCUGGUUUGUUUUUCUUUAUAGCACCUAUCAAAACCCAUCAGAUGGUCUGUCUACCUCCAUCAGAAUGUAAACUCUUUGAAGGGAGAAACAAUGGCAACGUCAACAGCAAUGGUUUAUCACAAGUCUGAACAUUCCUCUGUGGUAAGCAAAUCCAAGAGCCUUAAGGAAUAUGUAAACUCAAAAUCCAAGGCAAAGAGAAGGCAGCAGAAGCCAACAAAUUACGUGCCCAGGAAGAGAGGCAGUAGUAACUGUCAAAUCCUAUCUAAGAUGGAAAGAAGUAGAAGUCGAUUAAAUAUAGCAUCUGAGUCACCCUUCAUGACUAAAAGGGCUUCAAUUCAACCUUCACUACUAUAAGAGCUAUAAUAAUGGUGAAACUGUCUGUAUUCUUGGUACCAAUGAUUAAUUCCUAUGAAGGGAUAGGAACAACAGAACUGAACUGACACUGUAGUUGUUAGUUAAGGUUAAAGCUUAAGGUUAGAAAGAUUAAAAGCUUCCUAUGUAAAGGCAAAAAAAUAAAUAAAUUAAUUAAUUAAAUAAAAUAAAAUAAUUGCACCCCCAUUAUCUGUCAGGUCACAUGAGUACUUUUCACCUCCAGGUUGGGUAUGAGCAAGAAUACCAGCUCCAUUAAAUGUGUGACCUUGAACAUGCUACUAAAUCUCUCUGCAUCUGUAAAAUG